AAGGAAGCACACUUCGGUCAUAGAUUAAGCCAUGCAAGUGCUAGUUCAGGCAACAAAACUGCGAAUAGCUCAUUAAUACGCUCCGAAUCUAUUUGGCAGCGAUUUUUGAAGUCUUAUAUGGAUAGCAGCAGUAAUUCUGGUGCUAAUACAUGCGAUUGUUUUACCCUAAAUGACAUGGGGUGGAAAAGUUGACCAAUAUGGCAAGCCAUUCGACAGAGCGACCUAUCAGCUUUUACUUUGGAUCUUUACCAAGGUAGGCUAUCACGGGUAUCGGGCGGUUACCGUCGGACUGCCGGAGAAGGGGCCUGAGAGAUAGCGACUAUAUCCACGGGUAGCAGCAGGCGCGAAACUUACCCACUCGAGACUUUCGGAGGUGGUAAUGACCAGUUUCAAGUCAGCUCCUACGGGGCUGUUUGAAUAGGAUUAGAGUUUUCCACUCUAGUGAAACCUAGCAGAGGGCCAGUCUGGUGCCAGCAGCUGCGGUAAUUCCAGCUCUGCAAGUUUGCUCCCAUAUUGUUGCAGUUAAAACGCCCGUAGUCUGAACUGAUCAAAAGCCCUCUCGGGGGCGUUCACUGUGAACAAAUCAGGACGCUUAGCGUAUGGAUACAGGAAUGACUUAGCGCAGUAUGAUAUAUUUACCAAUGGUAAAAUCAAAGAGAGCUAUCGGGGGUAGAUCUAUUUCAUGGCGAGCGGUGGAAUGCUAUAACCCAUGAGAGAGAAAUGAAGGCGAAGGCAUCUACCCAGGGAGUUUCCGUCGAUCAAGGGCGAGAGUAGGAGUAUCAAACCGGAUUAGAGACCCGGGUAGUUCCUACCUUAAACGAUGCCGACAAGUAGUUAUCUUUUCAUAAAGGUAGCUUUAUCGGAGAAAUCAUAGUUCUUGGGCUCUGGGGGAACUACGACCGCAAGGCUGAAACUUGAAGGAAUUGACGGAAGGGCACACCAGGGGUGGAGCUUGUGGCUUAAUUUGAAUCAACACGGGAAAACUUACCAGGUCCAUUUGACAUUAAUGACUGACAGGCUAAAGGUCUUUCAGGAUAUUGCUUUUGGUGGUGCAUGGCCGUUGGUGGUGCGUGGGUUGACCCGUCUAGCGUUGAUUCAGAUAACGAGCGAGAUUAUCACCAAUUAUUUAGAAAGCCUUUUUUUAAAGGUUUUGUUCUAAUUGGGGCUCCCUGUGUCUAAACAGGCGGAAGAGGGUAGCAAUAACAGGUCCGUGAUGUCCUUUAGAUGUUCUGGGCUGCACGCGCGCUACAAUGUUAGGAUCAGAGUGAAAUAGCGAGAUCGAAAGAUUAAGCGACUCAGGUAAUGCCUAACGUAGUUGGGACUGAUGAUUGUAAUUAUCAUCACGAACCAGGAAUCCCUUGUAAGCGCGUAUCAACAGUGGGCGUUGAAUACGUCCCUGCCCUUUGUACACACCGCCCGUCGCUCCUACCGAUGAAUGAUUCGGUGAAAUCAUCGGCCCUUCUUCUCGUAAGAGGGAAAGGUGAUUAAAUCAUAUUAUUUAGAGGAAGGAGAAGUCGUAACAAGGUAACG
rnacentral:rRNA from 1 species